GUACGGGAGGCAGCAGUGGGGAAUUGUUCGCAAUGGGCGCAAGCCUGACGACGCAACGCCGCGUGGAGGAUGAAGAUCUUCGGAUCGUAAACUCCUGUCGAGCGGGACGAACGGCCCGGGUCCUAACAGGGCUCGGGAGUGACGGUACCGCUAAAGGAAGCCCCGGCUAACUCCGUGCCAGCAGCCGCGGUAAUACGGGGGGGGCCAGCGUUGUUCGGAAUUACUGGGCGUAAAGGGCGUGUAGGCGGCCUUCUAAGUCGGACGUGAAAUCCCUCGGCUCAACCGGGGAACUGCGUCUGAUACUGGAAGGCUUGAAUCCGGGAGAGGGAUGCGGAAUUCCAGGUGUAGCGGUGAAAUGCGUAGAUAUCUGGAGGAACACCGGUGGCGAAGGCGGCAUCCUGGACCGGCAUUGACGCUGAAGCGCGAAAGCCAGGGGAGCAAACGGGAUUAGAUACCCCGGUAGU
rnacentral:rRNA from 1 species